rnacentral:rRNA from 1 species
CCUGGUGGUCCUUGCGGAGCAUGAACCACCCGAUCCCAUCCCGAACUCGGAAGUGAAAGGCUCCAGCGCCAAUGGUACUGUGUCUCAAGACACGGGAGAGUCGGUCGCUGCCAGGC